rnacentral:rRNA from 1 species
GUCUUUUUGAAUUAAUAAUUUAAAGUCUAAUCUGCCCACUGAUAAAAAAUUAAAGGGCUGCAGUAUUUUGACUGUACAAAGGUAGCAUAAUCAUUAGUCUCUUAAUUGGUGACUUGUAUGAAAGAUUUGAUGAAAUAUAUACUGUCUCUUUUUAAUUUAUAGAAUUUAAUUUUUUAGUUAAAAAGCUAAAAUAUAUUUAAAAGACGAGAAGACCCUAUAGAGUUUAAUAUUUAAUUUAUAUUAAAAUUUUUUAUAAAAUUUAUAAUUUUAAUAUAUGUAAAUAUUUUGUUGGGGUGAUAAAAAAAUUAAAAUAACUUUUUUUAUAAUUUUACAUUAAUAAAUGAAUAAAUGAUCCGUAAUUUACGAUUAAAAGAAAAAAUUACCUUAGGGAUAACAGCGUAAUUUUUUUUUUUAGUUCAAAUAAGAAAAAAAGUUUGCGACCUCGAUGUUGGAUUAAGAUAAAAUUUAAAUGCAAAAGUUUAAAAUUUUUGAUCUGUUCGAUCAUUAAAAUCUUACA